rnacentral:tRNA from 1 species
AGAUGUAUAGCUCAGUGGUAGAGUGUGUGCUUAACAUGCAUGAGGUCCUGGGUUCAAUCGCCUGUACUUCCA